CCUACGGGAGGCAGCAGUGGGGAAUAUUGGGCAAUGGGCGAAAGCCUGACCCAGCAACGCCGCGUGAAGGAAGAAGGCUUUCGGGUUGUAAACUUCUUUUGACAGGGAAGAGCAGAAGACGGUACCUGUCGAAUAAGCCACGGCUAACUACGUGCCAGCAGCCGCGGUAAUACGUAGGGGGCAAGCGUUGUCCGGAUUUACUGGGUGGAAAGGGCGUGUAGCCGGGCUGACAAGUCAGAUGUGAAAUCCGGGGGCUCAACCCCCGAAUUGCAUUUGAAACUGUUGGUCUUGAGUAUCGGAGAGGCAGGCGGAAUUCCUGGUGGAGCGGUGAAAUGCGUAGAUAUUAGGAGGAACACCAGGGGCGAAGGCGGCCUGCUGGACGACAACUGACGGUGAGGCGCGAAAGCGUGGGGAGCAAACAGGAUUAGAUACCCUAGUAGUC
rnacentral:rRNA from 1 species